rnacentral:rRNA from 1 species
ACAAGUACCCGUGGGGAAAGUUGCAAAGAACUUUGAAGAGAGAGUUCAAGAGUGCGUGAAACCACUGGAAUGGAAACAGACAGAGUUGACGAAACUCGUCGAUAUUCAGCCGAGCCUUCGGGCACGGUGUACUUGUCGGCGGUAUGCGCUGAGUCCGCUGUUGGUGUGCGUUGAGCGUUGCGGUGUUGCCCACUUGUGGUGUCUUGCCGCGGCGGGAGGCGUAUCGUCGGUAGCGCGAUUCGGUGUAGGCGUUGAUCACCUGUCUGACCCGUCUUGAAACACGGACCAAGGAGUCUACCGCAUGCGCGAGUCAUUGGGUUGCAAACCUAGAGGCGCAAUGAAAGUAAAGGUCGGCGUUCGCUCGGCUGAUAUGGGAUGCGUGUGCUUGUCAUGCGCCGCACCAUAGCCCCGUCUCGACGGCUUGCCGUGGGGCGGAGGUAGAGCGUAUGUGGUAGGACCCGAAAGAUGGUGAACUAUACGUGAGCAGGGCGAAGCCGGAGGAAACUCCGGUGGAGGUCCGUAACGAUUCUGACGUGCAAAUCGAUCGUCUGACUUGCGUAUAGGGGCGAAAGACUAAUCGAACCAUCUAGUAGCUGGUUCCC